rnacentral:lncRNA from 1 species
CCGUCGUCUCCCCUGACUCCUAAGAUGGCUCCGCCACUACCUAAACCCUCACCUCCACGUCCAUCUCCGAAGAAGUCUCCUCCACCUCCUAACCCAUCUCUUCCGCCUCCGCCUCCACCUCCGCCUCCGCCUCCUAAACCCUCAUCUCCGCCUCCUAAACCCUCACCUCCGCCUCCUAAACCAUCGCCUCCACCGACUCCUAAAAUGUCUCCGCCAUCACCUACACCAUCACCUCCACGUCCAACUCCAAAAACGUUUACUCCACCUCCUAACCCAUCAUCUCUGACUCCA